CAGGGCAGACACGAAACCCCAAGGAGCUUACAGUUGAACAGAUCAUCUCACAGCUAUAUUUAACAGUGUGCCAAUAUUAGAUGGAAUGACAGCACUCGAAUGAAAGCUAACCUAGCCCAGGGCUAGGAAAGGCUGCCUAAGGAAGUGCCCUUUUCCCCUCCGAGCCUAGAAGAUGGAAAAGAGCUACCCAAGCAAAGGACUGGACAAGUAGCUUUUCAGGAACAGGGAACAGCAGGAGAGAAAGAAUUGAAGUGAGAACAAAGUUGAAAUGGUUGAGAAACCGCAAAACCCUGCUUAGAGAACAAGAGAGAUGUGGGCACAAACCGAGCUGCUGAGGUAGAGAGAGUGAAGUCAGCAAAGAAGACAAAAAGAACAGCCAAGAAGGCAGGAGGAAAACCAAAAUUGGUCACAGAAGCCAAAGAAGUGUGUGGAAAAAAAAAAAGGAAUGGCCAACUUUAUCGGAUGCUGCUGCUCGGUCAGGGGAGAUGAGAACAAACUUCCACUGAAUGCAGCAGCUUGGAAGUUCUUGGUGACUGUUUGGGGCAGAAUUUCUCUUCCAGUAACCAUGUCAUUAUUUUAGCUACUAUGGAAAUAAAUAUUAAUAAAUUUA
rnacentral:lncRNA from 1 species